CUGAGCCGAACUAUUCGAAAGAACCGAUUCGUCAGUAGGACUUUUCGAAUAAUACGCAUGCGCAAUGACUAGGUCAUGUCCUGGGUUAGCGAGAUUUUCAUAGACGGAAACUUGUUUGAAUUGUAUCCAUUUUCACUGAGAUGGUUUAUACAGCAGAGCUCAUGACCCAAUAUUACCACCUACAGAAAGAACGACACAACCGGGAAUUGCCGCGCAUCACAACUGUCCAUUUUUACUGGAAUCGGGGAUAAAUAAUUCUGUUCGACUGUCCCGAUUGAUUACUCGUCAAGACUCUUCACGCUGGAGCACGUGGGAAUGGAUGAGCAUGGUGUUUAUGUGCUUUAGGAUAAACGACUGCCUAUAAAGCUGGCGAGGCCGCUCUCAGGGCCAUAAAUACGUCCACAGAUUGUCUUGAGAGCGCAUCGUAAUCUUUCUUGAUAGUCAGUUGCCGGGAAGAGUAGCUGCAAGCAGACGAUUCUCCUCCCAAUAGAUGUCAAUCAAACGACGGUCGGUCGGGCUUGCUGGGAUGCCAAAGUUGACAUUGCUCCAGUUAUUUCUCCUUCAACACUGAUAAAGAAGCACCAUUCUAAUAACCUAAUAUGAAAAGUUAAAAAAGUCAUGAAAGAAUGAAAAAGAAAAAACGUUUCAUAUAAGGAGUUUUAUACCAUGUCUACUUUUGUCACUAGAUGGCGGUAAAACUCCAAUAAUAAUUCGUGUAUCACCAUGCAUAUCCAAGAGUUUGUGUGGUUUAAACUCGCUCAUUGCAUAACGGGACAAUGCACCUCAUUCAUUCUGUGGUAAAUGUUUAGUCCCAUGCACUCCUUAAUUGUUUUUGGAAAAAAUGUAAUGUACUUCUCUGCAAACGCUUGAUGCAUUUGAACCAAUUGCAUUUAUUAAAAUACUUUUAAUAAAAUAUUAGAUAGUGGCACGCGUC
ensembl:lncRNA